GGGUAAGGUCAAGUAGAAAAGGGCGCACGGUGAAUGCCUAGGCACUAACAGCCGAUGAAGGACGUGACGAACUACGAAAAGCUUCGGGGAGCGGUAAGUACGCAGUGAUCCGGAGAUGUCCGAAUGGGGGAACCCAAUGCAGCGAUGCAUUAUUGGUUGAUGAAUAGAUAGUCAAUCAAAGGAAGACGCAGUGAACUGAAACAUCUAAGUAGCUGCAGGAAGAGAAAGAAAAAUCGAUUUCCUUAGUAGCGGCGAGCGAAGAGGAAAGAGCCCAAACCAAGUGAUUUAUCAUUUGGGGUUGUAGGACUGCAAAGUGGUAGCGUAAGCGAUAGUUGAAUUAUCUGGGAAGGUAAGCCAGAGAGGGUGAGAGCCCCGUAAGCGAAAUUGCGAGCGCGCCUAGCAGAAUCCUGAGUAGGCCGGGACACGAGGAAUCCCGGUUGAAGCCGCGAGGACCAUCUCGCAAGGCUAAAUACUAGUUAGUGACCGAUAGUGAACCAGUACCGUGAGGGAAAGGUGAAAAGAACCCCGGAAGGGGAGUGAAAGAGAACCUGAAACCGUGUGUCUACAAGUAGUCAAAGCACAUUAAAGUGCGAUGGCGUGCCUUUUGUAGAAUGAACCGGCGAGUUACGUUAUCUAGCGAGGUUAAGUCAGAAAAGACGGAGCCGGAGCGAAAGCGAGUCUGAAUAGGGCGAAGAGUUAGGUGACGUAGACCCGAAACCAAGUGACCUACCCAUGGCCAGGCUGAAGGUGUGGUAAAACGCACUGGAGGGCCGAACCCACGUAAGUUAAAAAUUGCGGGGAUGAGCUGUGGGUAGCGGUGAAAUUCCAAACGAACU
rnacentral:rRNA from 1 species